CAAAGAUACAGAGAAAACCGCCGAUUUUUAUGCUUAGAUUUGAUGAAGAGUGGAUAGCUGUGUAGAAAUCUGAUUGGACAAAGAGGGUAUGAUCUAAUAGUAGUAUACUGAGUGGGAAAACCCAGCAAGGCCUGUCUGUUUGGAUUUUUCUUGGCUUCUUUGUGUAACAUUCUUUCCUCCUGGGUAUGGAUCAGUAUCCUUUCUGGAAUGGGGCUCUCAUAACCUACUGUUCAACAAGCUACUCUUUAGAGGUAUGAUGGAUCUCCCCACAAAGUCUGGUUCAGGUGUCAAGACCUACACACCAAGAAACGAUGAGAAGAAUUAUCAUUCACAUGAGACUUUCUGGGGCAAGCAGAGUGGCUACCAAACAGGUCUUAAAAUGGCUUGAGAAAUCCAGAAUGCACAAGCCACGAACCCCAUUGCCAGACUGCUUGUUACAUGGCAGGUACACAAUUAUAUUUAUAAUAUAAAAAAUGAAUGAUUGAGCAAAUAAAAAUAAAAACAACUAAGAGUGGAGAAUGA
rnacentral:lncRNA from 1 species